UCUAGCUGUAGAUAACUGCCUAGGUUGCCUUAUACCUAAGGAAGUAUUACACUGCUGGGGAGAAAAAGCAGCAACAGCUGAUCGGUAUUCUGGGCCUGAUUAAUGCCAAAUUUGUGUUAACUAUACCAAUGUGCCAGCAUAGUUGCUUAUUUUAUUAUUUUUAAAGACAUC
ensembl:snoRNA SNORA74 Small nucleolar RNA SNORA74